rnacentral:rRNA from 1 species
UAACGACUCUCGGCAACGGAUAUCUCGGCUCUCGCAUCGAUGAAGAACGUAGCGAAAUGCGAUACUUGGUGUGAAUUGCAGAAUCCCGCGAAUCAUCGAGUCUUUGAACGCAAGUUGCGCCCGAAGCCAUCUGGUCGAGGGCACGUCUGCCUGGGUGUCACGCAUCGUUGCCCCCAACCC